GACGAACGCUGGCGGCGUGCCUAAUACAUGCAAGUCGAACGCUUCUUUCCUCCCGAGUGCUUGCACUCAAUUGGAAAGAGGAGUGGCGGACGGGUGAGUAACACGUGGGUAACCUACCCAUCAGAGGGGGAUGACACUUGGAAACAGGUGCUAAUACCGCAUAACAGUUUAUGCCGCAUGGCAUAAGAGUGAAAGGCGCUUUCGGGUGUCGCUGAUGGAUGGACCCGCGGUGCAUUAGCUGGUUGGUGAGGUAACGGCUCACCAAGGCCACGAUGCAUAGCCGACCUGGGAGGGUGAUCGGCCACACUGGGACUGAGACACGGCCCAGACUCCUACGGGAGGCAGCAGUAGGGAAUCUUCGGCAAUGGACGAAAGUCUGACCGAGCAACGCCGCGUGAGUGAAGAAGGUUUUCGGAUCGUAAAACUCUGUUGUUAGAGAAGAACAAGGACGUUAGUAACUGAACGUCCCCUGACGGUAUCUAACCAGAAAGCCACGGCUAACUACGUG
rnacentral:rRNA from 1 species